rnacentral:rRNA from 1 species
GACGAACGCUGGCGGCGUGCUUAACACAUGCAAGUCGCACGAAGUGGCGAACGGGUGAGUAACGCGUAAUCAACCUGCCCUUCAGAGGGGGACAACAGUUGGAAACGACUGCUAAUACCGCAUACUGAAGGUGGGGAUUGCGUCUGAUUCGCUAGUUGGCUGGGUAACGGCCAACCAAGGCGAUGAUCAGUAGCCGGUCUGAGAGGAUGAACGGCCACAAUGGGACUGAGACACGGCCCAGACUCCUACGGGAGGCAGCAGGGGGGAAUCUUCCGAAAGGGACGAAAGUCUGACGGAGCAACGCCGCGUGAUUGAUGACGGCCUUCGGGUUGUAAAGCUCUGUUAAUCGGGACGCGGUACCGGAAUAGAAAGCCACGGCUAACUACGUGCCAGCAGCCGCGGUAAUAC